AUGGGUAUAAACGGAGGUCGGAGCCAGCUGCAAAUGGGUGGGUAAGCAGCAAGUGGGUGGAGCUUUACCCGCAAGUGGGCUGUACAAACUUCCAGAGGAUUUUGAUUGGUUUAUUUAUAUCACCUGUAGCAGCUAUUGGUUUAUGCUCCUCAGUUGGUGGCGCUAAUGCGUAAGUUUUGUAGCGAUCGAUCAGAAAACAAAGAAGAAAACCGCUUUCACAUGUCAGCGUGUUGUUGAAAUGAAGGGGUAAGCUUGCUGUACAGUUUUUAGUUUUGUAAAAAAGCAUUAUAAGUUCUAUGAAUUAUGAAGCAUUAUGAAGAAGACCAUUUUAUAAUGCCGUUUGUACGCUGUUUUUAGUCUUGAUGUAUUAAAAAAGAUAAGGGUAAAGUGCAUCCAGAUACAUUUCUGUAGUUUUUUAUUAGCACACAAAUUACAAAAUCUGUAACGUGGAUGACAAAAUCUUUUCUGCAUUCCAUUUCUACAAUUUGCUCUCCAGAUUAUGGAUUCUGAAGACCAUAAUAAUAAGGACAAUGCAGGACAAAGGCUGUCAAAUAACUGGAGUGUUUGUCUUGAUGGAAAUAUGCACUGUAUGUUAUUCUGGGACAGAAGUUUGACUUCACUGAAGUAAACAUGAAGAACAUAGGAAAAUGGUGGUGUGCCAUCUUGCUUGAAAAUUAAGUAAGUGUGAAAAAAUUAGCUGUACUUUUAACGUGGUGUUUUAAGAAACUCUUAAAGAAGUGAAGAAAUCUUGUUCAGUCUGUAAACUGUUUUGGGAAGACAUGGAACGGAAUGAUUUAGUGACUCGCUCAUAACACUAUUUCAGUAAAAAUAUAUUCUGCAGACCCUUUGAGUAAAAAGAAGUAGCAAAGUGUUUCAGUGAUGAUAAAAAUCAGCAAGUGUAAACACUACUUGCUCUAUCAAACUCCUUUAAUAGCUGUUCUUAAUACUAUUAGGGGUUGGCAAGAUUUUGAAAUGUUUUUGUAUUCAAAUGUUGUUGUAUUCAUUGGUGAAUAAUUUAAAAUUGGACCAUUAAUUCAAAUUUUUUUCUAUAUUUACAAAAGUCUUUACUGUAAUUUGUAAUCAAUGUAAUGCAUCCUUGCAUUUAAUUAAUUUUGAUAUUGAACUUGUUCUAUUUCUUACUUUAUUUGUUUUUGUUGCAUGACAAUCAAAUU